rnacentral:rRNA from 1 species
GAUGAACGCUGGCGGCGUGCCUAAUACAUGCAAGUCGAGCGAACAGACGAGGAGCUUGCUCCUCUGACGUUAGCGGCGGACGGGUGAGUAACACGUGGAUAACCUACCUAUAAGACUGGGAUAACUUCGGGAAACCGGAGCUAAUACCGGAUAAUAUAUUGAACCGCAUGGUUCAAUAGUGAAAGACGGUUUUGCUGUCACUUAUAGAUGGAUCCGCGCCGCAUUAGCUAGUUGGUAAGGUAACGGCUUACCAAGGCAACGAUGCGUAGCCGACCUGAGAGGGUGAUCGGCCACACUGGAACUGAGACACGGUCCAGACUCCUACGGGAGGCAGCAGUAGGGAAUCUUCCGCAAUGGGCGAAAGCCUGACGGAGCAACGCCGCGUGAGUGAUGAAGGUCUUCGGAUCGUAAAACUCUGUUAUUAGGGAAGAACAAAUGUGUAAGUAACUAUGCACGUCUUGAUGGUACCUAAUCAGAAAGCCACGGCUAACUACGU